AAAUGCAUCUUUUAUGUUUUAGAAAUCAACAAUUAAAUAUUAUAUGAUACUUUAAUUUUCGCGCGGUUUUGUAAAUAGGAACCUAGCCGCUAUAGCCAAUUAGAAAAGCCCCUAGGCGAACUAUGACGCGUCAUUUUUCAGUGGGAAAUUAUCGUGAUUGUUACGUGCCGCUUGAGUUGUUCUCGAUUACACAAUUAUUGUUCAAUUAUGACUUCGAAGAAAAUUUUACUGUGAAGAAAAAAUGCAUACGUCACUUAUAAUGUACUCAAGAAUUUACUCAUAAUUUUUCUGCAAAUACGGUUAUCAAAUGACAAGUGGAAUGAGUUUUAAGAAAAUAUAUAUUUCAAUAUGGACACCUUAUUAAUUAAUGAACAAUUGUUUCAGAAAAUAUUUGAGACCGAGCGCAAUGCGGUCGAUAGAAUCAGUGUUUAUUUCGUAAAAGUUUUUAUAUUUUUUUGAAGUUCUAUUUAAAUUAUAAUAGUUUCGCUAUCAGUGUUUAAAAUUAGUUAAAAU